rnacentral:misc_RNA from 1 species
UGAUAAUUUAUUUAAUUUUUGAUUUGAAGAGUUCCGUCCUCAGUACAUGGUUGAUUUAUGGGAUACUGCUCUGGUUCCAAUGUUUGAUACAUUUCUCUUUGAUAGUGAACAUGAUCGAAGUAUGGCUCGAAGGAACCCUGAGACUCCCUUGAACCCGUCUUCUGCUUGGAACUGGGGACUUCAGUUUUCUCUAGAAUAUAUUAAGAAUUGGGAGAAUCCUCUAUUCGGUAUUCCUCGUCGACCUGAUAGAAAUAAUCUUCAUGAUCCAUCUCAUCUUAGUAUGAUCAUGGACAAACAGUUCUUCCCAGGAGUUCCAGAAAGCAAGAAGUAUCUUCCUGUAAACCAUCAUGUAUCCUGUCUUCAAGUCUGGGUAUCUUUCUACCAUAGAUCAGUUCCAUUCUUCCAGAUUCCUGGAAAGCCAGAGGAGGAGUUGUUACUUCUACAACGAGAAUCAAAACAGUUAAUUGAUGAAAUUUAUAAAACCACUGUCAGGGGUAAAGCGAUGAACAAUGCGACUAGAUCGAACAAUUAUUAGUUUGUGGUUCAACAAUGAUAAGACCAGUUGAAGAUCAAACAAUCAAAAGUUAGGACUACAAGUGCUGAAUCAGUUCCAUGAUGAGGUUCUACUAAAUAAAUCCAUUCAGAAGUAUCCCACCAAGAGUGUCUUAGACAUUUGACUCGCAAGAGUCAAUUUUUUUUUUUGAAUGGAAAAUUUUUAUUUUUAUUUAAUGAUUGCUUGAAUAAUGUUUUUAGUAAAAAAAAUCCAACUGGGUUGAUCUGAACUUUUCACGAAAAAUGUGCUUUAAUAUUUAGUUUAGAAUUCUUUGUUUUCUCUAAAAUAUCAUCAUUUACACCCUCUCACAGGGGUUAAUAUGCAACCUUGUUUAAAGAAACUAAUAAAAUAAAAUGAUAUGAGCAACCUAAACACUGGUGAUAAUUCCCUAGAUGUGACCCAAAAAAAUGAACCAAUUCCAAAAUUAUUUUUAAUACUUUGAUUUGAUAAAUUGUUGAGUUUUAAUGAAAAUUACUAAAAUUGUAUAUUUACGAUCCCUGGCCCCUGUAAACAAUUUUAACCACCUGUGAUAUUCGUGUACAAUGUACACUGUAAUGUACAUUGUACAACACAAACAUAUAUUGCAUUAUAAUACAUAAAUUAUCUAUGGACGAAAUGCGCAAAUUAUUUGCAUGAUUUUAACAAUAAAUUACAAAUAUUAUUAAUAAAAUCAUAUUUUACAGUU